ACAGUCCAAAGGCCGCGUUGCUCGUCACAUACAGAGAUCACCGCAUCUCUUCCCUUGCGAGCGGGCUAAGGUCUGAGCCUGAUACAUCCUCCUCGAUAGAUCCUAGCUGGAUCGGACGAUAACAAGUCCAACGACGUAUCAGAAACACAUCUGGUUCUCUUUGCUCGUUGAGCGCCUUGUGAUCUCUUAGGGGUGAAGGCAUGAGAGGACUUGGAGUUGGAAAACGUCGUGAGGGUCGGGUGGGGUCGAACUUUUGACGAGUCUAGUUCGUUAGCUGGUCUAUCGCAUCCAAAUCCAUGUCCACCAUGGUCAGGCUGAUCCUGCAAUGAACGCGCGGCGGUCAUUGUCGCCAGCUUUGGGCGCAUUGAAAAGAGUAGACGGAGCUUAGCUAACCCCUCUGGUCUGAAACUGCUGUCUUUAUUCAGCUCUGCACUUUGUGUGUGGGUCGACUCGGUCGGGAAGAAUAAAAUAUAGGCAGGGGCUAUCUCUGGUGUCUACGGCGACGGUGGGACCCUUGGGUAUAGUCGAGGGUUUCCUGCACGGCGCUGCCACCUGCAAGGCGCUGGGUGAACGAGGUCCAAGCCUACCCAUCUGGUUCUUUGUCUGUUCCCCCAUCCUUGAGUGCACUUCGCGGCUCGUGCGAUGAUGCUUUGAAAGAGGCUAGCACGAAACUCGAUUCAGACUACUCUUGGACUGU
rnacentral:RNase_P_RNA from 2 species